GUUUGGUGUGAACUACUUGUGUCUUCUUGGAGGAGUAUGAUUCAUUUACAGGCUGAUUUGAUCAUAAAUCCACAAUAAAAUUUCUGAGUUCUGUAUCAAUCUGUGUUGUUGUUUGUUUAUUUUCAUUUUUUUAUUUUUCAUAGGAAGAUAACUGACCCUUUACUCUCCUUUUUAAUAAAUGUGCUUAUAAACCAAGAUCAAGCUAUUUAUAGCUGUAUUUAUAAGCUGCUUAUUAAUGACUAUUUAAGUUGGGACAAGACUUUAUAAAGCAUGAACUGACUAUUUACUAAUGAGUGCAGUUAUUAUAAAGUGUUACCAAUGCAUUUACUAAUGUUAACAAAUUAGACAUUAUUUUACAGUGUUAUAAAAUCCUUUAAUGACUUAUAAGCAUUUGUUAAAGUUCUGCUUGCAUUACAGCUUAGUCUUGAUCUGUGAACUGAACAGUUUUACUGUUACAUCCAUGAGAUUAUGUAAAUUAAGAUAAAUGUCAUGUCACAGGAUGGAAUAGGUCAGUAUCAAAUGAGAUUGAAAUUAUUAUUUGCAGCACAAAUAAGUAUUUUUAGAAUUUUGUUUUUAAUUCCUGAAACUGUCAGAAAAGGAUAAGGCCAAAGAGAUUUCUUAAGCUGUAAUGAAAACAGCAAUGUUAGCAAAAGCAACAAAAAAUAACAAUUUAAAAUACAUUUUUUUUUCUGGUGAUUAAAGAGAUGAUUAAGUCUCUCUCUCUCUCUCUCUCUCUCUUUCUCUCUCUCAUUGUGUCUGCCACUCAGCUCAUGCCCAUCCCCCACUCACACCCACACACUCACACACACACAUGCACUCAGUCAGCACACAUACAUUGCUCAAACAGAGGGACAGAGUGAGUUGAGAUGUCUGACAGUUUUUUUAUUUUCUUUUAGUCAUACAGUGUUGUAAAGUCAUGAAACUAUGCAUAUGUCCUCAGAAUGAUUUGAUCUCUGUAUGAUUUUUUUUUUUAAGUGUUUGGAAGCUGCAAUUUAAAAAUACAAGACAAUUAAUGAUUCCCUUUUUACUGUCAUUUCAAAAAAUCACCACGACAAAACCGUUCAAGCUAACCAAAAUCCGUUCGCAAUUUAAGUUCCUCAAUGUUUUUUCAACCUGUAGACAAAGUUUGGUGAGUAUAGUGAACAUUUCCUGUGAGGAGUAUGCAUUAAAUCAGAGCUCAAUUUAAAUAUUCAAAUCAAAAUAGCCGACUUCCUGUUGGUCGUAGCUGAUGACUGUGAAUUAGAAAGUUGUCCGUCUUGAAAAGAACAAUUUAUGUACCAAGUUUGGUGUCUGUAGCUAAAACUAACCCCCCCACUUUUGACAAAAGGUGGCGCUAUAGAGUGCCUCUUCCACGCCCUUUUCAAAGCUUUUGCCAUGGUUUAGCUAUCUUUAAUACUGAUAUCUGUUUCGAGUUUCAUGUAAAUCUGAGCUUGUUGUCUGCCUAAAAAUCACCAGAACAGAACAUUCAAGUUUGACACGUUGCCAUGGCAACACUAUAUUAGAUAUCAAUAUCCCCACAACAGAUUUUCUUCGGCCGUGUUUUGUCAUUAUUCUGAUGAAGUUUGAAGCAAAUCAAGUAAAAAUAAGAUGCUGAAUUCAAAGCGUUUUGAAAAUGAUUCACUUCCUGCUGCCAGUUGGUGGCGCUAUAACUUUGACUCCUAAUAGUCACAUAUAUACGAUCGGUAUCAUACAACGAACAAACAAAUUAAGUUUGAUCAAAUUCAGGAAAUGUAUGUGAAUGUUAUUAGACAUUUCCUGUUUCUCAUUUCUCGCCAUAAUUUCAACGCCUCGCCACGGGCAAACCGUUCGAGAUAUCAAAAAUCUCUUCGCAAUUUAGCAUCCCCAAUGUCUUGAGAUCGUGUUCACCGAGUUUUGUGGUGAACGGGUGGAGUUCCUCAGAGGAGUAUAUCAAAUUCCAGAGCAUGUGUUUUUCAUGAAACCCUAAAUAGCCAACUUCCUGUUGGGCGGAGCUUAUGACAUGCAGUGUGAAAGUUGUUUGGUUUGAUGAGUUAUAUAUAUGUACCAAGUUUCAUAUGUAUACGUGCAAGUAUGCAUGAUAUAUGGCCCUCAGUACUACAGGGGGCGCUGUAGAGCCCCUGUGCCCCGCCCGUGUAUCAUACUCUGCCCGGCCCUAAUGGCCGCAGGUUCCAAGGUGUGUGCCAAUUUUCAAGAGUUUUUGAGUAUGUUAAGGACCCCAAAAGCCCCCGAAACCUUGGAAAAAAAUUAGAAGAAUAAAGAAAAAAAAAAAAAAAAAAAAAAA